rnacentral:tRNA from 1 species
ACUCAGAUAGUUUAAACAAAACACCGGUCUUGUAAGCCGAAAACUGAAGAUUAAAAUCUUCUCGGAGUU